GUGAUUUUUCUACUGUAUGAUUUACCUUGGAUUUUCUGUGCGACUCUGCUUCUGGGGUUUUCACUUGAGUGAAUAACAGGUUGCUGCUGAUUUCCUGGCUUAAAUGAGUGUCACCGUGCCUCGAGCAGCGUCACCUGCUCCUCUCAGAGAUGUUCCAAAGUGAAACUGGACUGUUAUAUUGGCACAGACUUAUCAUGGAACAACCUGGGUAAGAAGAAGUAAU